rnacentral:rRNA from 1 species
GACGUAGGGCGCGAGCGUUGUCCGGAUUUAUUGGGCGUAAAGAGCUCGUAGGCGGCUUGUCGCGUCGACUGUGAAAUCCCGCGGCUCAACUGCGGGUCUGCAGUCGAUACGGGCAGGCGUAGAGUUCGGUAGGGGAGACGUGGAAUUCCUGGUGUAGCGGUGAAAUGCGCAGAUAUCAGGAGGAACACCGAUGGCGAAGGCAGGUCUCUGGGCAUUAACUGACGCUGGAGGAGCGAAAGCAUGGGGAGCGAACAGG